rnacentral:rRNA from 1 species
UACAGAGACUGCAAGCGUUAUUCGGAUUCACUGGGCGUAAAGGGUGCGCAGGCGGUCGGGUGUGUCAGAUGUGAAAUCCCGGGGCUUAACUCCGGAACUGCAUUCCAUACUGCGGUGCUUGAGGACUGGAGAGGAGACUGGAAUUUACGGUGUAGCAGUGAAAUGCGUAGAGAUCGUAAGGAAGACCAGUGGCGAAGGCGGGUCUCUGGACAGUUCCUGACACUGAGGCACGAAGGCCAGGGGAGCAAACGGG